rnacentral:rRNA from 1 species
GACGAACGCUGGCGGCGUGCUUAACACAUGCAAGUCGAACGGAAAGGCCCUGCUUUUGUUGGGUGCUCGAGUGGCGAACGGGUGAGUAACACGUGAGUAACCUGCCCUUGACUUUGGGAUAACUUCAGGAAACUGGGGCUCAUACCGGAUAGGAGCUCCUGCUGCAUGGUGGGGGUUGGAAUGUUUCGGGGGUUGGGGAUGGACUCCGGGAUUAUAAGCUUGUGGGGGGGGUAGGGGCUUACCAGGGCUUGGACGGGUAGCCGGCCUGAGAGGGUGACCGGCAAAAUUGGGCCGGAGAUAGGGCCCAGACUCUUAGGGGAGGCAGCAGUGGGAAAAAUGGCCCAAUGGGGGGAAGCCGAAGCCAGCAACGCCGGGUGCGGGAGAAGGGCCUUCGGGUGUAAAACCGCUUUCGCCUGUGACGAAGCGUGAGUGACGGUAAUGGGUAAAGAAGCACCGGCUAACUACGUG